rnacentral:rRNA from 1 species
GCCAUGCCGCGUGCAGGAUGAAGGCCUUCGGGUUGUAAACUGCUUUUGUACGGAACGAAAAGACUCCUUCUAAUAAAGGGGGUCCAUGACGGUACCGGAAGAAUAAGCACCGGCUAACUACGUGCCAGCAGCCGCGGUAAUACGUAGGGUGCGAGCGUUAAUCGGAAUUACUGGGCGUAAAGCGUGCGCAGGCGGUUAUGUAAGACAGAUGUGAAAUCCCCGGGCUCAACCUGGGAACUGCAUUUGUGACUGCAUAGCUAGAGUACGGUAGAGGGGGAUGGAAUUCCGCGUGUAGCAGUGAAAUGCGUAGAUAUGCGGAGGAACACCGAUGGCGAAGGCAAUCCCCUGGACCUGUACUGACGCUCAUGCACGAAAGCGUGGGGAGCAAACAGGAUUAGAUACCCUGGUAGUCCACGCCCUAAACGAUGUCAACUGGUUGUUGGGUCUUCACUGACUCAGUAACGAAGCUAACG